rnacentral:rRNA from 1 species
AACGAACGCUGGCGGCAUGCCUAACACAUGCAAGUCGAACGAGACCUUCGGGUCUAGUGGCGCACGGGUGCGUAACGCGUGGGAACCUGCCUUUAGGUUCGGAAUAACUCAGAGAAAUUUGAGCUAAUACCGGAUGAUGUCUUCGGACCAAAGAUUUAUCGCCUUUAGAUGGGCCCGAGUGGAAUUAGCUAGUUGUGGGGGUAAAGGCCUACCAAGGCGACGAUCCAUAGCUGGUCUGAGAGGAUGAUCAGCCACACUGGGACUGAGACACGGCCCAGACUCCUACGGGAGGCAGCAGUGGGGAAUAUUGGACAAUGGGCGAAAGCCUGAUCCAGCAAUGCCGCGUGAGUGAUGAAGGCCUUAGGGUUGUAAAGCUCUUUUACCCGAGAUGAUAAUGACAGUAUCGGGAGAAUAAGCUCCGGCUAACUCCGUG